rnacentral:misc_RNA from 1 species
AUGCAUGAGGGGUGCGACUAUCGGCAUCGCAAAAGGGUAAGACAAGCACGCCUGUGAAGUUAGGUUUCCGAAUUGGGGAGGUUCCGACAUGUGUCGCAACCCUGUCGCUUUUCCCCAGCGUGAAAUAUGGGGUAAACGCCCCAGACUCAAGAUUGGCGAAAUUUGGAGAAAAUUCGACAACAAUGUCAAACGCACAACGCUACAUGCAGGGGCGGGAGCCGAAUAUGGGAGCAACCCAGGUGGCAAAACCCAUGCCCCCUCCCCCCCGCCUGUGUCAUGGUCGCCGGCCGACACACACCGGGCCCGGGGCGCAGGUUCACCACCACCUCGGCUUGCUCUCGAUCGCCAGCAAUGUACAGUACCUCAAUAUAAGCACAGCGUUUCUCUCUCCCACACCACGUCUGCAAAGCCGAUAUCGCGCUUCAUGCAAAGGGGCAGGGCAGCUGAGACAUGGAGAAAACGUGCCGAACCCUCUGGAAUUAUCGUGAGAACCAAGAUUGGAGGAGAUGCCGAUAAGCCGAUAACACACAUAUCCAACGAGCCAACAUUCGCCCUUGCAAACUACACCCUAUGAACCGCCCAGAUCAUAGAUACAGAGAUGUAGCUUAAAUUGCUCAUCCAGACUAGUGACCCCCACGAGCCGAAUAGACACCCCCACACUCCACGGGAGGCCCAAAACAGAGGCCUAGAACCAGAAACGCAACCGAUCCACCAUCAUCAGUCACGUGAGCGUGUUUCACAACAAGACAAAAUGUCUUUGUUGCCCUCUGCACUGUCAGGAUACGGACUGUAGAUGCAGUUGCAGCUGUUCUGUUAUCACUCUUUCGAUCAAUACUAACAGCAACUGUUCCUAUCAUCAAUAGAGCAACCGUUCCAUGUGCGGC